GAUGGGGUGGGGCGGUCCGAUGGGAAGGGGCGGUCCGAUGGGGAGGGGUGGUCCUAUGGGAAGGGGCGGUCCUAUAGGGAGAGGCGGACCUAUAGGGAGAGGCGGACCUAUAGGGAGAGGCGGACCUAUGGGCAUGGGUCCUCCUCCACCCCCACCCAUGCACCUGAGAGGCCCCUACCCACCAAUGCACAGACACGGCCCCCCUCCACCUCCCUCCAUGGGCCACCCUGGUUUUAGAGGGCACCCCCCACACCCCAGAGGAAGAGGCAUGUCCCCCGGACCCCCACGCCACUUCCACCCCAGGGGCCCCAGAGGCUACCACAAUGGACCAGCUUCUCCUCCUCAUCAUCCCCCACCUGGCAGAGGCCAGAGGUGGCCAGGGCCCCCUGGUGGCCGACGGUUUUAACGCAGCCUGCCCAAAAAUAAUACAGUAACAGAGAGCUUUACAGUCUAUAGCAGCGAGCCUACUGGGCUGGGGUGGCUAAACUGAGCACCUUAAUAUGUGUCAUAAAAAGAAGACCCCUUUUUAAAAAUCCUUAUGGAACACCCUCUAGCCAAAUAUCUGGAUAUUGAUAUCGUAUACCAGAGGAGAAGAUGUGAAUCAACAAGUGGACACUUAAAUGCCUCAGACCUUAACAGUACAAAAAGGCAUUCUCACUUUCAUUGUAACUUUUGUUAUUAGAAAAAAAUGUGCUCUUGGUAUUAGGACAAAGUUGUAUAGUAUUGAGAGAAUAAAAAUAUGAUUUAAAAAAAAGAGUCCCAAAGGGAUGAUAAAUGUUGAUAUUCAAAUCCCUUAGAUGUCAUGUGGUCUUGUGGUGGUCACUCUGUGAACCUUAAGGAAUGUCUGACCCUAAUAAAAAGAGAAAUUACACAUUGUGUGUGAGUGAGAAAGAAAGAAAGAAAGAAAGCAAUGUGCAACAGCCCUCAAGCACCAGUUACUAGCACUAGUUUCUUACACCUUGGACCUCCCUAACUUUCCCUUUUGGUACAUGGAUAUACUUUUGUAUUACAACUUCACCAAGCAGUACACAACUACAGCAAAAGCUGUUUAGACUCACGUACACAUUCUUAAGUGAAAAGACAAUAUUUUUCAUGUCAAGUAUUCAUGAUUAUUUUACGUGACAUUUUUAUAUGAUUCAUGUGCAGCUAUUUUAAGUUAAUGCAUAUUGCUAUUUGGAACAAUUCAUGUUUGUGUUCAGCAAUCUAUAUUGUGGAAUGACUAAAGAACUUAAAUUAAUAUUAUAUUGAAAUAAUAUAAUAAAUAUAUAGUAUAUAUACUAGCAGCAUUUACAGUAUAUUUGAAAGCAAAUUACGAAACAAGUAAUUGCUUCAGUUUAGUCUAAGAUACUUACUAUUCAGUGUGUUAAGUUUUGAAGUGUUAUCAUACGUUAUACUUACUGUAACUGACAUAACUUUGUGGAUUUGUGGAUGUACUUUUGGAAAACAGUAACAACUAUGACGUAGUCGUGAAGGACAAAAAUAAAAGUAAAACUUAACUGAA